CCCAGCACAGGGCAGCCCCUGCUUUCCCCUCUGAGCUGGUCUGAUCCCACCCGUCCCACACAGCCGCACAGAGACCCUCCCUCUGGACUCCUGGAUCCCUCUGGAUCAGGACUGACUUGGCCUUGGGCCUUUUUUAUCUGCAAGCCUUGAUGGGGCAGCUCACAUAGGGGAUCCUUUCUACAGCUGUUCUGGGUUUGAACUCAGCUCUUCCACUCGGCUGCCUAAAAGUGGUGCAGUCACCAAGUGCCAAAUGCAAAUUGUGGGCCAAGUUUGUCUUCUCUCCAGUCACAAAGGGAACUGGCAUCAGGCUUGGUUGGUUUUAGGCUGCAUCUGAAGUCAGAUGGACAAAGCAUUGCUUUAAAGUGAGGAAGAGGAAUUUGACUAAAGCCACUGUAAUAAUUAAUCUUGUGAUGGGCAAGUCAUGCAAAUUAGUGGAGAGAUGUGGGUCCUAACCCAUGGUCCAGCCCUGCUCUGUGGUUCAGCCAGAAUCAGCCAUUUAAAACCUCACCUUUCAAAUGUUUCUCACAGGUAAAUCUAAUAAAAAUCAUAUUUUGUCACA